ACGCUCGACACCUACGGGAUGCAGCAGUGGGGAAUAUUGCACAAUGGGGGAAACCCUGAUGCAGCGACGCCGCGUGAGCGAAGAAGUAUUUCGGUAUGUAAAGCUCUAUCAGCAGGGAAGAAACUGACGGUACCUGACUAAGAAGCACCGGCUAAAUACGUGCCCGCAGCCGCGGUAAUCUGAGCGGGCUGGCAAGGC
rnacentral:rRNA from 1 species